rnacentral:tRNA from 1 species
AAGACACUGGUAUAAAAACACAUCGCUUUGUCAAGGCGAAAUUGUGGGUUAAACCCCCGCGUGUCUU